rnacentral:misc_RNA from 1 species
CGCCUCCAGUAACUUGGAGGCAUGCCUGUCUGAGCGUCAUUUAAAACCAUAGACCCGAAAGGUUUGUAUUGGGCAUCGCGUCCGGCGUAGCUCAAAGACAUUGGUCUUACAUGCGGACGAGCUCCUUUAGGACAGACCGUGUCGAGACUUUAAACAUCUGACUUGACCUCAGAUCAGGUAGGACCACCGCCUGAACUUAA